rnacentral:rRNA from 1 species
GCGGCCUAUCAGCUUGUUGGUGGGGUAAUGGCCUACCAAGGCAACGACGGGUAGCUGGUCUGAGAGGAUGAUCAGCCACACUGGGACUGAGACACGGCCCAGACUCCUACGGGAGGCAGCAGUGGGGAAUCUUGCGCAAUGGGCGAAAGCCUGACGCAGCAACGCCGCGUGCGGGAUGAAGGCCUUCGGGUUGUAAACCUCUUUCAGUAGGGAAGAAGCGAAAGUGACGGUACCUAAAGAAGAAGCACCGGCUAACUAUGUGCCAGCAGCCGCGGUAAUACAUAGGGUGCAAGCGUUGUCCGGAAUUAUUGGGCGUAAAGAGCUCGUAGGUGGCUCGUCACGUCGAAUGUGAAACCCUGAGGCUCAACCUCAGGCCUGCAUCCGAUACGGGCGAACUGGAGUGUGGUAGGGGAGACUGGAAUUCCU